AACUAGCACAGACAAAAACCACAUUUUUUAACAUUGCUCAUUUUACAGUCAACAGAGCACUGUUAAUCACUUAACAGUCUUGAUACUUGAAUUUUAAUACAAAAAAAUACGUCUGAAAUAUGUAUCAGAAAUAAUUUCAGAAAUAUUAAAUAUAAAGAAAUAUUUCAGAAUUUUUUUUAUAAUAAUAUUGAAAAAAAAGUCAAUUUUGAAAAAGUAACAAUUUAAAAAAGAAAAUUGGAACAUGGAGAGGCAAAAAAACCACGGCGAUUACGAGCGACUACUGAAAUUAACGGAAAUUUACGGUGCAAUUCACACCAUCUAUCGAAACUGAAGUAGAAACUAGAGAAGAUUAUGAUUGUGAUUAAUUUUGUAAACAUAAAUGAGCAAUUUGUCGAAUAACUUCAGCGCUUUCGUAACUGUAAAAACUAGAAAGUCGAAGAAUUUAUAUGAUAUCCGACAGAAACGUUGUCGAGGAAAUUCAUGUUGUAAACGACACCACGGAAAGAGGAGUGAAAAUGAUGGAGGACUACAAUAAAAAAAUGGAACACAAAUGAAGAGGAGAAGCAAUAUUUGAUUUAAGUUGUCGGAGAUUAUCGCCAAAAAUAUCCUAUUUUUAAAAAACGCUUUUUAAUAUAGCAUUUAUAAUUAUGUUAUAUAUAAAUAACUUCAAUAAACCAUUUUAUUUUAUUGCAAUAA